rfam:Lymphocryptovirus Macaca/pfe-lcl-E3, complete genome.
GGCCCUGGGAGUGGAGGUGGAUCGCCCGGGUCUCUGUUGGCAGAGUCCGAGGGAUCCUCCUACACCCUCCAGGUGUC